CACACACUCGGCCACCAGCUCCUCCACUGUGGCUCUGUCGGAGGCUGGGAUGUUGUGGAGCAGCCCUGGUGGAAACAGCGAGUAUAUAUGAGAAGAACCCUUGUAUGGGAAUGUCUAAGAAGCAUGUGAAAAAGACUGUAUAGAUUUCCUACAAGAAGACAUCACCAAGCUACAGGAAUGGAUCAAAAAGUGGCUGCAGCAAUUCAGUGAAGAAAAAUAUAAAGUCCUGCACCUUGGGAGGGGAUAUCCAGCACACCAAUACCACAUGGGAAACACUCCACUAUCCACCACAGAGGCAGAGAAAGACCUGGGAGUAUAUGUCACCAGGCUACCAGUGAAGGCCAAAUCCGUCCCAAUCGCAGCGGACGGGUUAAGAAAACACACUUGAUAAUAAGAAAACAGUAGGCGAAGACAGUAAGCAGGGGAGAAAAGUAUUAAUUCUUCAGUAAAACAACAAAUACGCUGGAAGGGAACAACAGAGUGUCAAAUUCUGCUGGCUACUCUUUACUUCAUCUUUUAUCGGAGCAGUGGUUAGUGGGCUUUUUUUUUCUACACUUUCUUUUUGUUG